rnacentral:rRNA from 1 species
CGCAGCCGCGGUAAUUCCAGCUCCAAUAGCGUAUAUUAAAGUUGUUGCGGUUAAAAAGCUCGUAGUUGAAUUUCGGGAUCAAUAUGUUGGUCGUGCCUUGGUACGUACUGGCAUUAUCGAUUCCUACCUUCUGAAGAACCUCGAUGUCAUUAAUUUGGUGUCUUGGGGAAUCAGGACUGUUACUUUGAAAAAUUAGAGUGUUUAAAGCAGGCUCGCGCUUGAAUACAUUAGCAUGGAAUAAUGGAAUAGGACGUUUGAUUCUAUUUUGUUGGUUUCUAGGAUCGACGUAAUGAUUAAUAGGGAUAGUUGGGGGCAUUAGUAUUCAAUUGUCAGAGGUGAAAUUCUUGGAUUUAUUGAAGACUAACUACUGCGAAAGCAUUUGCCAAGGAUGUUUUCAUUAAUCAAGAACGAAAGUUAGGGGAUCGAAGACGAUCAGAUACCGUCGUAGUCUUAACCAUAAACUAUGCCGACUAGGGAUCGGAUGAUGUUAAUUUUUAAUGACUCAUUCGGCGCCUUACGG